rnacentral:rRNA from 1 species
GUGCCAGCCGCCGCGGUAAGACAGAGGUGGCAAGCGUUGUUCGGAAUUACUGGGCUUAAAGGGCGCGUAGGUGGUGAUAUAAGUCCGGGGUGGAAGGCUGAGGCUUAACCUUGGAAUUGCCCUGGAAACUGUAUCACUUGAGUCAGCGAGGGGAUGGCGGAAUUCCUGGUGUAGCGGUGAAAUGCGUAGAUAUCAGGAGGAAGGCCGGUGGCGAAGGCGGCCAUCUGGCGCUGAACUGACACUGAGGCGCGAAAGCGUGGGGAGCAAACAGGAUUAGAAACCCCUGUAGUCC